rnacentral:rRNA from 1 species
GAUGAACGCUGGCGGCGUGCCUAAUACAUGCAAGUCGAGCGAACGGACGAGAAGCUUGCUUCUCUGAUGUUAGCGGCGGACGGGUGAGUAACACGUGGAUAACCUACCUAUAAGACUGGGAUAACUUCGGGAAACCGGAGCUAAUACCGGAUGAUAUUUUGAACCGCAUGGUUCAAAAGUGAAAGACGGUCUUGCUGUCACUUAUAGAUGGAUCCGCGCUGCAUUAGCUAGUUGGUAAGGUAACGGCUUACCAAGGCAACGAUGCAUAGCCGACCUGAGAGGGUGGUCGGCCACACUGGAACUGAGACACGGUCCAGACGCCUACGGGAGGCAGCAGUAGGGAAUCUUCCGCAAUGGGCGAAAGCCUGACGGAGCAACGCCGCGUGAGUGAUGAAGGUCUUCGGAUCGUAAAACUCUGUUAUUAGGGAAGAACAUAUGUGUAAGUAACUGUGCACAUCUUGACGGUACCUAAUCAGAAAGCCACGGCUAACUACGUG